AUUGAACGCUGGCGGCAGGCUUAACACAUGCAAGUCGAGCGGGGUGAUGGUGCUUGCACUAUCACUUAGCGGCGGACGGGUGAGUAAUGCUUAGGAAUCUGCCUAUUAGUGGGGGACAACAUUUCGAAAGGAAUGCUAAUACCGCAUACGUCCUACGGGAGAAAGCAGGGGAUCUUCGGACCUGGCGCUGAUAGAUGAGCCUAAGUCGGAUUAGCUAGUUGGUGGGGUAAAGGCCUACCAAGGCGACGAUCUGUAGCGGGUCUGAGAGGAUGAUCCGCCACACUGGGACUGAGACACGGCCCAGACUCCUACGGGAGGCAGCAGUGGGGAAUAUUGGACAAUGGGGGGAACCCUGAUCCAGCCAUGCCGCGUGUGUGAAGAAGGCCUUAUGGUUGUAAAGCACUUUAAGCGAGGAGGAGGCUACUGAGACUAAUACUCUUGGAUAGUGGACGUUACUCGCAGAAUAAGCACCGGCUAACUCUGUGCCAGCCGCCGCAGUAACAC
rnacentral:rRNA from 1 species